rnacentral:rRNA from 1 species
AUAAACGCUGGCGGCGUGCCUUAGGCAUGCAAGUCAAGGGGGUCCCGCAAGGGACAACCGGCAGACGGGUGAGUAUAAGUAAGGAACUUACCCCAAAGUGGAGGAUAGCUCGUCGAAAGACGGGGUAAUCCUGCAUAUUACCGAAAGGUCAAAGGGCAUAACCGCUCGCUUUGGGAGAGGCCUUAUUCCUAUCAGCUAGUUGGUGAGGUAACGGCUUACCAAGGCUAUGACGGGUAGCUGGUGUGAGAGCAUGACCAGCCACAAUGGCACUGAGAUACGGGCCAUACACCUACGGGUGGCAGCAACCGGGAAUCGUCGACAAUGGACGAAAGUCUGAUCGCGCGACGCCGCGUGAGGGAUGAAGCAUUUCGGUGUGUAAACCUCUUUUGCCCCGACAUCGAGUCGGGGAGAAUAAGCAUCUACUAACUACGUGCCAGCAGUCGCGGUAAUACGUAGGAUGCAAGCGUUAUCCGAAUUUACUGGGCGUAAAGAGUCGCGUAGGCGGCACCUCGCAUCUUGCUUUAAAGCCCCUGGCUUAACCAGGGAACGGGCAAGAGAUGGAGGAGCUAGAGGAUUGGUGGGGUGAGCGGAACAGAUGGUGUAGCAGUGAAAUGCGUUGAUAUCAUCUGGAACACCGAGAGCGAAGGCAGCUCACUAACCGAUCCCUGACGCUGAGGCACGACAGCUAGGGGAGCGAAGCAGAUUAGAGACCUGCGUAGUCCUAGCCGUAAACGCAUGAAUGCUAGUUGCUCGUCGUAAGAUGAGUGACGUAAGUUAACACGUUAAGCAUUCCGCCUGGGGAGUACGGCCGCAAGGUUAAAACUCAAAGGAAUUGGCGGGGACCCGCACAACCGGUGGAGCAUGUGGUUUAAUUCGAGACGAAGCGAAAGACCUCACCAUGGUUUGACAUCCUAUUGUAUAACUAUCUAGAAACAGAUAGCCUCCGCAAGGAAUUUAGGAACGCUGUUGCAUGGCUGUCGUCAGCUCGUACCGUGAGGUGUUCCCUUAAGUGGGGUAACGAGCGCAACCCUUGUCGUUUGUUAAAUAUUCAAACGAGACUGCCCCGACGUUUGUCGGGGAGGAAGGAAAGGACGACGUCAAGUCAGCACGACGCUUAUGCCAUGGGCCACACACAUCCUACAAUGGCGAAAAACAACGAGUCGCAAGCCGGUGACGGCAAGCAAAUCUCUGAAAUUUCGCCUCAGUUGGGAUUGGAGUCUGCAACCCGACUCCAUGAACUAGGAAUCGGUAGUAAUCGCGAAUCAGCAGGUCGCGGUGAAUACGUUCUCGGGUCUUGCACACACCGCCCGUCAAGCCAACAAAGUCGAGGGUGGCCGAUGCAUUAUUUAUAUAGUGUGAAGCCAAACUCGGCGAUGGGGACU